rnacentral:rRNA from 1 species
UACGAAGGGUGCGAGCGUUAUUCGGAAUCACUGGGCGUAAAGGGUGCGUAGACGGUAUGUUAAGUUUGUUGUUAAAGGCUCCGGCCUAACUGGAGUAUUGCGAUGAAAACUGGCAAACUAGAGGGUGAGAGAGAGAAGUGGAAUUCCCGGAGUAGCGGUAAAAUGCGUGGAUCUCGGGAGGAACACCAAUGGCGAAGGCAGCUUCUUGGCUCAUUCCUGACGUUGAGGCACGAAAGCGUGGGGAGCAAAC